rnacentral:rRNA from 1 species
GCGGCAGGCCUAAUACAUGCAAGUCGGACGGGAUUGGGGGCUUGCUUCCAUGAGAGUGGCGCACGGGUGCGUAACACGUAUGUAACCUACCUUCAUCAGGGGGAUAGCCUCUCGAAAGAGAGAUUAACACCGCAUAACAUAAUAGGAUAGCAUUAUUUUAUUAUCAAAUAUUUAUAGGAUGAAGAUGGGCAUGCGGAACAUUAGCUUGUUGGCGGGGUAACGGCCCACCAAGGCGACGAUGUUUAGGGGAUCUGAGAGGAUGGCCCCCCACACUGGUACUGAGACACGGACCAGACUCCUACGGGAGGCAGCAGUAAGGAAUAUUGGUCAAUGGGCGCAAGCCUGAACCAGCCAUGCCGCGUGCAGGAAGACGGCCCUACGGGUUGUAAACUGCUUUUGCAGGGGAAUAAACCCUUCUAUGUAUAGGAGGCUGAAUGUACCCUGAGAAUAAGGAUCGGCUAACUCCGUGCCAGCAGCCGCGGUAAUACGGAGGAUCCGAGCGUUAUCCGGAUUUAUUGGGUUUAAAGGGUGCGUAGGCGGCCUGUUAAGUCAGGGGUGAAAGCCGGCAGCUCAACUGCCGAAGUGCCUUUGAUACUGACGGGCUUGAAUGCAGCUGAAGUGGGCGGAAUGUGA